UAUCUCUGUAGAGUCUGCAUAUCAAUAAGCGGAGGAAAAGAAACUAACAAGGAUUCCCUUAGUAACGGCGAGUGAAGCGGGAAGAGCUCAAAUUUGAAAUCUUCAAGGUUCUACCUUGACGAAUUGUAGUUUAAAGAAGUGUUUUCUGUUAGAUGAGUAGCAAAGGUUCCUUGGAAUGGGACAUCAUAGAGGGUGAGAAUCCCGUAUUUGGUUAUUCAUUCUAGCUUUGUGAUACACUUUCAAAGAGUCGGAUUGUUUGGGAAUGCAGUCCGAAAUGGGUGGUAAAUUUCAUCUAAAGCUAAAUAUUGGCGAGAGACCGAUAGCGAACAAGUACCGUGAGGGAAAGAUGAAAAGAACUUUGAAAAGAGAGUUAAACAGUACGUGAAAUUGUCAAAAGGGAAGCGUUUGACACCAGUGUUGUUUUUCCGAAAAUCAAUUACGAAUGGCUUGAUUCUGUGUUGUAUUGACCUUAUCAGCUUUCUUCACUUUUUUCGAGUCUUUCUUAAUGCACUUUUCGGUUAACAAGUCAACAUCAAUUUCUUUUGUUGUAAAAGAGUAUUCGGAAGGUGGCUUUCUUUUCGGAGAAAGUGUUUAUAGCCCUAUACUUCUACAAUCGGAGAGAUUGAGGUCUGCAGCGUAGAUCCUUCGGGGUUAGAUACACUUGUGCUAAGUUGUAGCUUUUCAUAGACAACUUGUUGACUAUGUUUAGUCAUGCGGCUUACUCGCUUGUGCUAUUUUACCUACGCUUAGGAUGUUGACGAGACUGUCGAUCUC
rnacentral:rRNA from 1 species